UACGUAGGGUGCGAGCGUUGCCCGGAUUUAUUGGGCGUAAAGGGCGCGUAGGCGGCCACGCACGUCCGUUGUGAAAUCCCCGGGCUCAACCUGGGAACUGCAUUGGAGACUGGCAGGCUAGAGUAUGGCAGAGGGGGGUAGAAUUCCACGUGUAGCAGUGAAAUGCGUAGAGAUGUGGAGGAAUACCGAUGGCGAAGGCAGCCCCCUGGGCCAAUACUGACGCUCAUGCACGAAAGCGUGGGGAGCAAACAGG
rnacentral:rRNA from 1 species